GUAGGUGGCAAGCGUUGUCCGGAAUUAUUGGGCGUAAAGCGCGCGCAGGCGGUUCUUUAAGUCUGAUGUGAAAGCCCACGGCUCAACCGUGGAGGGUCAUUGGAAACUGGAGAACUUGAGUACAGAAGAGGAAAGCGGAAUUCCACGUGUAGCGGUGAAAUGCGUAGAGAUGUGGAGGAACACCAGUGGCGAAGGCGGCUUUCUGGUCUGUAACUGACGCUGAGGCGCGAAAGCGUGGGGAGCAAACAGGGAUUAGAUACCCUGGUAGUCCACGCCGUAAACGAUGAGUGCUAAGUGUUAGGGGGGUUUCCGCCCCCUUAGUGCUGCAGCUAACGCACUAAGCACUCCGCCUGGGGAGUACGGCCGCAAGGCUG
rnacentral:rRNA from 1 species